UACAGAGGUCUCAAGCGUUGUUCGGAUUCAUUGGGCGUAAAGGGUGCGUAGGUGGCGAGGUAAGUCGGAUGUGAAAGCUCGGAGCUCAACUCCGAAAUGGCAUUGGAAACUACCUUGCUCGAGGGUUGGAGGGGGGACUGGAAUGCUUGGUGUAGCAGUGAAAUGCGUAGAUAUCAAGCGGAACACCAGUGGCGAAGGCGAGUCCCUGGACAACUCCUGACACUGAGGCACGAAAGCUAGGGGAGCAAACAGG
rnacentral:rRNA from 1 species